rnacentral:rRNA from 1 species
GAUGAACGCUGGCGGCGUGCCUAAUACAUGCAAGUCGAGCGAACGGACGAGAAGCUUGCUUCUCUGAUGUUAGCGGCGGACGGGUGAGUAACACGUGGAUAACCUACCUAUAAGACUGGGAUAACUUCGGGAAACCGGAGCUAAUACCGGAUAAUAUUUUGAACCGCAUGGUUCAAAAGUGAAAGACGGUCUUGCUGUCACUUAUAGAUGGAUCCGCGCUGCAUUAGCUAGUUGGUAAGGUAACGGCUUACCAGGGCAACGAUGCAUAGCCGACCUGAGAGGGUGAUCGGCCACACUGGAACUGAGGCACGGUCCAGACUCCUACGGGAGGCAGCAGUAGGGAAUCUUCCGCAAUGGGCGAAAGCCUGACGGAGCAACGCCGCGUGAGUGAUGAAGGUCUUCGGAUCGUAAAACUCUGUUAUUAGGGAAGAACAUAUGUGUAAGUAACUGUGCACAUCUUGACGGUACCUAAUCAGAAAGCCACGGCUAACUACGUG